AAUUCUUCCAUAUUUUUUAAUAUGAAGAUUUUCAUUGAAAUGUAUUGAAGCAACUAGUGAAUAUACAAUUUAAAAUUAUUAAAUACCAAAUAAGCCAUGAAAGAAAAAAAAAUCACACUUUCUACCUAAAUUACUUAAUUUCUUCGUAUAUAUAUAUCUAUAAAAUAUUGUCGUUCUUUAUACAAUAUUGCUUUCCCCUUAUUCUUCAAAAUAAACUGCAGUGAAAAAAGCUAUGACGAUAGUGAUACGUAAUGAAAAGAAAGAGAUUAUCUUUCUUCGUCGUUGAAACAAACGAAAGUUAGUAAUCACGGCACUAAUUAUAUAUCAUUUAGUUAACUAACUCCAUUUUGGACGGCGUAGCUUGUGGAACAUUUAGUUCAGAGUUAUGUGUAGCUUUCGCAGUUCAAAGUUUAUUUCGAAAAAAUAAUCGCAAAAUAAAAAAUAGAUUUGACGUCUGUUGGUUUAUAAUGGCACAAUCAAUAAUAAAAGAGUAUAAACGUAAAUAAAAAUAAGGCUGUAUAAUAUUUUUGACUAUGUAAAAUUACGUGAAAUACUUUUAACAGGAAAAACAAAAAGAAAAACCGAAUACUUACACAUAUUGUGGGCGAUGCAAUUUCCUAAAAUUCGAAUGAGUUGUGGUUAAUAAAGUGCAGGCAAUUUUAAUCGUAAAUAUAUAAUUUUUACCCGUCCCAAGAAAAAUCUCCGAUAAUUCCCUAACAUUCAUGAUCAAAAAAUGUUCAAUGUGGAAGAGAAAAUUGCGCGAACCAAUAAACAAAAAUAAGCAGUAGUUUAAUAUCGAGAAAAAUAACAAAAUGUAAGUUUUUCUUUAGCUACUUCCAUAAAUCCUUUCCAGUAGUCAUUGGUGCUUGCAGAUCAAUUAUAAAUGGGCGCAAUGCUAUGCGGAAUGGCGAAAAGUCUGUGGCCCGCAAAUACGAGGGUCUGUGGCUGGCGUACAAACAAAACCGCGGGCCUUACCGUCCUUAAGUGGAACACAACCAUGAGUACAAUUGUAAAAUAAAUUGGUGAAUUGUUUUUUAUAUAUGCUGAGAAGCCCUCACGUGAUAGAUUGUGGCGCCGAGAAUAGAAUUCCAAGUAGGGAACGAAAGGAGCACAUUGAGAGUGGUCAACGAUACAACGAAAAACAGUCGCAAAAUCAACAGCGAGUGGUGGAGGUGAUAACCUUAUUAGACUAAGGAAGACUUUACGUCGUUCCAUCUUAACAAGCUACCGCUAGCUAAGGAAGAGAACAAUUUAAUUCGAUCGCGUAAAUUCGAUAACCAAGAUUCAGAUUAAGUUAACUCAAUUUUCUCAUAUAUUUUCAUUCAUUUUUUGCAUUGUGAACUUGAACUUUG